rnacentral:rRNA from 1 species
GUAGGGUGCGAGCGUUAAUCGGAAUUACUGGGCGUAAAGCGUGCGCAGGCGGUUCCAUAAGACAGAUGUGAAAUCCCCGGGCUUAACCUGGGAACUGCGUUUGUGACUGUGGGACUCGAGUGUGGCAGAGGGGGGUGGAAUUCCACGUGUAGCAGUGAAAUGCGUAGAGAUGUGGAGGAACACCGAUGGCGAAGGCAGCCCCCUGGGUCAACACUGACGCUCAUGCACGAAAGCGUGGGGAGCAAAC